rnacentral:rRNA from 1 species
GGAUACCCGUACCGUAAACCGACACAGGUGGAUGAGGAGAGAAUCCUAAGGCCGACGGGAGAAGCAUUGUUAAGGAACUCGGCAAAAUGACUCCGUAACUUCGGGAGAAGGAGUGCCAGUAAGAUGGCCGCAGAGAAUUGGCCCAAGCAACUGUUUAGCAAAAACACAGGUCUAUGCAAAACCGAAAGGUGAGGUAUAUGGGCUGACGCCUGCCCGGUGCUGGAAGGUUAAGGGGAGAGGUUAGCGCAAGCGAAGCUUUGAACUUAAGCCCCAGUAAACGGCGGCCGUAACGAUAACGGUCCUAAGGUAGCGAAAUUCCUUGUCGGGUAAGUUCCGACCCGCACGAAAGGCGUAAUGAUUUGGGCACUGUCUCAACAAUGCACCCGGUGAAAUUGAAAUACCAGUGAAGAUGCUGGUUACCUGCGCCAGGACGGAAAGACCCCAUGGAGCUUUACUCCAGCUUGAUACUGGGAUUCGGUAUUGCAUGUACAGGAUAGGUGGGAGGCUAGGAAAUGGUAACGCCAGUUGCCAUGGAGCCAAUGUUGGGAUACCACCCUUGCAGUACUGGGUUUCUAACCAGCAGCCGUGAUCCGGCUGGGGGACAAUGUCAGGUGGGGAGUUUGACUGGGGCGGUCGCCUCCGAAAGGGUAUCGGAGGCGCUCAAAGGUUCCCUCAGAAUGGUUGGAAACCAUUCGAAGAGUGCAAAGGCAGAAGGGAGCUUGACUGCGACACCGACGGGUGGAGCAGGUACGAAAGUAGGACUUAGUGAUCCGGUGGUAUAAAGUGGGAUUGCCAUCGCUCAACGGAUAAAAGCUACCCUGGGAUAACAGGCUUAUCACUCCCAAGAGUUCACAUCGACGGAGUGGUUUGGCACCUCGAUGUCGGCUCAUCGCAUCCUGGGGCUGAAGUAGGUCCCAAGGGUUGGGCUGUUCGCCCAUUAAAGCGGUACGCGAGCUGGGUUCAGAACGUCGUGAGACAGUUCGGUCCCUAUCCGGCGUGGGCGUAAGAUAUUUGAGAGGAGCUGUCCUUAGUACGAGAGGACCGGGAUGGACUGGCCGCUGGUGUAUCUGUUGUCUUACCGAAGGCAUAGCAGAGUAGCCAAGCCGGGAAGGGAUAAACGCUGAAGGCAUCUAAGCGUGAAGCCCCCCUCAAGAUGAGAUAUCUCAUAACGUCAAGUUAGUAAGACCCCUUGAAGACGACGAGGUAGAUAGGACAGAGGUGGAAGUGUGGUAACACAUGGAGCUGACUGUUACUAAUAGGUCGAGGGCAUAACU